ACAAAAGGAUGGUGCUCCGGUCGCGGUCGGACCCACCAAAAAAAC
rnacentral:rRNA from 1 species